rnacentral:rRNA from 1 species
CAGUCGCCGCGGUAAUACGUAGGUGGCAAGCGUUGUCCGGAAUUAUUGGGCGUAAAGGGCUCGCAGGCGGUUUCUUAAGUCUGAUGUGGAAGCCCCCGGCUCAACCGGGGAGGGUCAUUGGAAACUGGGAAACUUGAGUGCAGAAGAGGAGAGUGGAAUUCCACGUGUAGCGGUGAAAUGCGUAGAGAUGUGGAGGAACACCAGUGGCGAAGGCGACUCUCUGGUCUGUAACUUACGCUGAGGAGCGAAAGCGUGGGGAGCGAACAGGAUUAGAUACCCGCGUAGUCCCUGUCUCUUAUAC